GUUAUUAUUUAGUUAUGUUGUUGCUUGGUUACAUUUGAUGCCUCCGCACGUGGGAAGCUACCGGUUUGAAAGACGCGGCUUCACUUGCUUUUCUGCACCAAGAUGGCAAGAAUCAGACGAUUUGAGAAAGCUGUUUGCUGGAGCGACGACAGAUACUGGGCAACUUGGGACAAGUGGGGAGAGGUGAAAAUGACCUGAAAUCAAUGAGUUUGAACACUGGACACUACAUUCCGUGUUUGUGUAUAAAGUCAUGUUUAGCGUACAUGCGAGUUCAUUCGUAUCCUUUUCCCCAGAGACAAAAAGUAGGCUAGGCUAAUGGGAAAAAAACACACAA